CCGUCCAUUGUACUGUCUGCCCGUGGUGGGGAUGGCAGUAGGAUCAUAUUUGAUGACUUCCGAGAAGCAUAUUAUUGGCUUCGUCACAAUACUCCAGAGGAUGCGAAGGUCAUGUCCUGGUGGGAUUAUGGCUAUCAGAUUACAGCUAUGGCAAACCGAACAAUUUUAGUGGAUAAUAACACAUGGAAUAAUACCCAUAUUUCUCGAGUAGGGCAGGCAAUAGCGUCCACAGAGGAAAAAGCCUACGAGAUCAUGAGGGAGCUUGAUGUCAGUUAUGUGCUGGUCAUUUUUGAAGGCCUCACUGGCUAUUCCUCUGAUGAUAUCAACAAGUUUCUUUGGAUGGUCCGGAUUGGAGGGAGCACAGAUACAGGCAAACAUAUUAAGGAGAAUGACUAUUAUACUCCAACUGGGGAGUUCCGUGUGGACCGUGAAGGUUCUCCAGUGCUGCUCAACUGCCUCAUGUACAAGAUGUGUUACUACCGCUUUGGACAGGUUUACACAGAAGCCAAGCGUCCUCCAGGCUUUGACCGUGUCCGAAAUGCUGAGAUUGGGAAUAAAGACUUUGAGCUUGAUGUCCUGGAGGAAGCGUAUACCACAGAACAUUGGCUGGUCAGGAUAUACAAGGUAAAGGACCUGGAUAAUCGAGGCUUGUCAAGGACAUAAAUGUCACGUCCAGCUCUGAUAUGCUUCGCACUGGGCACAUCACAUUUAGGACGUUGAAGAUUUUUUCUUUUUUUUUUUUUUUAAUAUGCAGUUUGUAAGAACAAAGCUGGAUGGCAUUAGAAUUUGUCCUGGGCAGUAUGGGCUGGGCCAAAUGAAAUGAUUUUUAUAAUUCUAAACAGGUUACCAAAUGAAAUGUCAUGGCUUUACUUUGGUCAAUUAAAGGGGGGAAUU